AUGUCUCCAAUUCCCAGUUGAAAUUAUUUUAGGCCUAAUAUCUCUAAAUCAUUUCCUUGCAUUUCAUCGACUUCGAACUAAGGGGUAGAUAAGGAAGCUUUGCCUUCCAGGAAUUUUUAGAAGACAAAGUGAGUCUCUGAGGUCAGAGUGGUCACCAAUAAAUAAUGAUCCUUGAAGUUUGAAUAACUAUCAAGGUAAACAUCAAACACAUUGACCAACUAAUAAAGUGAAAGCAACCUUUUCC
rnacentral:lncRNA from 1 species